CCUACGGGAGGCUGCAGUGGGGAAUAUUGGACAAUGGGGGGAACCCUGAUCCAGCCAUGCCGCGUGUGUGAAGAAGGCCCUCUGGUUGUAAAGCACUUUCAGUGAGGAAGAACGCCUGGUGGUUAAUACCCAUCAGGAAAGACAUCACUCACAGAAGAAGCACCGGCUAACUCCGUGCCAGCAGCCGCGGUAAUACGGAGGGUGCGAGCGUUAAUCGGAAUUACUGGGCGUAAAGCGCGCGUAGGUGGCUUGAUAAGCCGGUUGUGAAAGCCCCGGGCUCAACCUGGGAACGGCAUCCGGAACUGUCAAGCUAGAGUGCAGGAGAGGAAGGUAGAAUUCCCGGUGUAGCGGUGAAAUGCGUAGAGAUCGGGAGGAAUACCAGUGGCGAAGGCGGCCUUCUGGACUGACACUGACACUGAGGUGCGAAAGCGUGGGUAGCAAACAGGAUUAGAUACCCGAGUAGUC
rnacentral:rRNA from 1 species